rnacentral:rRNA from 1 species
UACGGGGGGGGCAAGCGUUGUUCGGAAUUACUGGGCGUAAAGCGUGCGCAGGCGGUGAGCUGUGUCCGAUGUGAAAGCCCCGGGCUUAACCUGGGAAUGGCAUUGGAACUGGACUCGCUGGAGUGUGGCAGAGGGGGGUGGAAUUCGCGUGUAGCAGUGAAAUGCGUAGAGAUGCGGAGGAACACCGAUGGCGAAGGCAGCCCCCUGGGCUAACACUGACGCUCAGGCACGAAAGCGUGGGGAGCAAACAGG